UUGCAGUUAAAAAGCUCGCAGUUGGAUUUCUGGCAGGAGCGACCGGUCCGCCGCAAGGUGUGCACUAGGUUGUCUCCGGUCAUCUUUGUGGGAACUGCUCUGGCAUUAGUUUGUCGGGGUUAGGGAACACAUCGUUUACUGUGAAAAAAUUAGAGUGUUUAAAGCAGGCUUAUGCCGUUGAAUACAUUAGCAUGGAAUAAUAAGAUAGGACUUUGGUGGUCUAUUUUGUUGGUUUGCACACCAAGGUAAUGAUUAAUAGGGAUAGUUGGGGGUAUUCGUAUUUAAUUGUCAGAGGUGAAAUUCUUGGAUUUAUGAAAGACGAACUACUGCGAAAGCAUUUACCAGAGAUGUUUUCAUUAAUCAAGAACGAAAGUUAGGGGAUCGAAGAUGAUUAGAUACCAUCGUAGUCUUAACCAUAAACUAUGCCGACUAGGGAUUGGUGGUCGUUCUUUAUGACUCCAUCAAGCACCUUAUGAGAAAUCAAAGUCUUUGGGUUCCGGGGGGAGUAUGGUCGCAAGGCUGAAACUUAAAGGAAUUGACGGAAGGGCACCACCAGGAGUGGAGCCUGCGGCCUUAAU
rnacentral:rRNA from 1 species